rnacentral:tRNA from 1 species
CACUAAAUGACUGAAUUAUAGUGUAAAUCUUUUAAAUUUAUAAUAGUGUCCCACUUUUAGUGA